rnacentral:hammerhead_ribozyme from 1 species
AUUUAGCUAACGAGUUUUAAAUAGGACGAAACGCGCGUCCUGGAU